rnacentral:rRNA from 1 species
AUGGUCUUGGCCGGCCGGCGGCGUGUGGAGGGACCGGUGAGGUGCGGCGGGAGCCCCUCUGCCGGUGUUCCAGCGGCAACAUACAUGCUCAUGUCGAGGCUGCGCACAGGUCCAGUCAGCUGCGGAAUCGGGGCGACGCAAUUUUUGGUGAAAAUCGUGCUGACUACAGUCAUGGCGUACGAUGGCGGCGUCUCUGAUACCGUCUCCUUCUCGAGACAUCGUCAUUGCAGGUUGUGUCACCAUGCUCAAGAUGCUCCAGGGGGCAAUGACGAUGCCUCUGGUGCCGUUCUCCCUUUUGAGGGCAUCGUUUUGGAGCAUGAGCUGGCUGAAGGAGACAAUAGGAGAAGCGGUGUUACAUCUACCGAAAGAAUAGUGGCGGAGACAUGGGGAACGAGCAGGGGCCCUGGCCCCCCUAACAUUGCUGUAUUAAGCCUGAUAUGCAUGCUAAUAAAUGAUCAAUGGUUGCUAAAGUGA